rnacentral:rRNA from 1 species
GAUGAACGCUGGCGGCGUGCCUAAUACAUGCAAGUCGUGCGAACGGACUAGAAGCUUGCUUCUCUGAUGUUAGCGGCGGACGGGUGAGUAACACGUGGAUAACCUACCUAUAAGACUGGGAUAACUUCGGGAAACCGUAGCUAAUACCGGAUAAUAUUUUGAACCGCAUGGUUCAAAAGUUAAAGACGGUCUUGCUGUCACUUAUAGAUGGAUCCGCGCUGCAUUAGCUAGUUGGUAAGGUAACGGCUUACCAAGGCAACGAUGCAUAGCCGACCUGAGAGGGUGAUCGGCCACACUGGAACUGAGACACGGUCCAGACUCCUACGGGAGGCAGCAGUAGGGAAUCUUGCGCAAUGGGCGAAAGCCUGACGGAGCCACGCCGCGUGAGUGAUGAAGGUCUUCGGAUCGUAAAACCCUGUUAUUAGGGAAGAACAUAUGUGUAAGUAACUGUGCCCAUCUUGACGGUACCUAAUCAGAAAGCCACGGCUAACUUCGUG